CAGAAACUGAUUUCUUGAUCAUUCGGACAAGACAGGGUUACUAUAUUCGGGAAUUAGUGGAUAUUUUUGUGGUUGGCCAGCAGUGUCCCUUGUUUGAAGUUCCUGGGCCUAACUCCAAAAGGGCCAAUACGCAUAUUCGAGACUUUCUACAGGUUUUUAUUUACCGCCUUUUCUGGAAAAGUAAAGAUCGGCCACGGAGGAUACGAAUGGAAGAUAUAAAAAAAGCCUUUCCUUCCCAUUCAGAAAGCAGCAUCCGGAAGAGGCUAAAGCUCUGCGCUGACUUCAAACGCACAGGGAUGGACUCAAACUGGUGGGUGCUUAAGUCUGAUUUUCGUUUACCAACGGAAGAAGAGAUCAGAGCUAUGGUGUCACCAGAGCAGUGCUGUGCUUAUUAUAGCAUGAUAGCUGCAGAGCAACGACUGAAGGAUGCUGGCUAUGGUGAGAAAUCCUUUUUUGCUCCAGAAGAAGAAAAUGAGGAAGAUUUCCAGAUGAAGAUUGAUGAUGAAGUAAGGCUUUAUACUAGUUUGUAUUAGUCAUUAAUACAUCUCAUUUAUCCUUUUAAAAGAGACAGCUUUAUUGAGAUAACAUAAAAUAAACUGUACACAUUUAAAGUA
rnacentral:sRNA from 1 species